AAGUAUUAAAAAAAAGACAAGUAAGGGAUCUUGUAAAAGAAUAAAAGAACUUCGAGGUGGAUGGGUCAAGGGCCGACUAGAUAAAUAUAAUUACUUUACAAGAUCCCUAAUGUUGUUGGUGCUGCUGUUGCCGCUCUAACUGAUGGUGGUGCUGCUUCUGCAGCCGGCGUUUUUUUAACACAUUGACUCCACAUUGACCGGUCUGUACCAACAACCCAAAACAUUCAUAAAUACAAAACAGAACAAGAUGAAGAUAAUCAGGCAUCAGUAUAAGGGAUAAAUGGUCUUGAAGAUAUGCAUCCAACCAAGGUGAUGGCAACUACUCUUUAGCCAGAUAAUCAGAUUCUUUGACAAACUU